UACAGAGGGUGCGAGCGUUGUCCGGAAUCACUGGGCGUAAAGGGCGCGUAGGUGGCGCGACAAGUCAGGGGUGAAAGCUCGAUGCUUAACAUCGAGUCGGCCACUGAUACUGUUGGGCUUGAGCACUGUAGAGGCUAAUGGAAUUCCGGGUGUAGCGGUGGAAUGCGUAGAGAUCCGGAAGAACACCGGUGGCGAAGGCGGUUAGCUGGGCAGUUGCUGACACUGAGGCGCGACAGCGUGGGGAGCGAACAGG
rnacentral:rRNA from 1 species